rnacentral:lncRNA from 1 species
GUAUAAAGACUAGGUUUCACCAUGUUGGUUAGGCUGCUCUUAAACUCCUGACCUUAAGUGAUCCACCCACCUCGGCCUCCCAAAGUGCUUCGAUUACAGGCAAGAGCCACUGCAACCAGCCGAACAGGCAGUAAAUUUUUACAUGUAUAUGUAGCUUUUAGAUUAGUGCAGUAGGGCUUCAGUUCACAUUGAUAGGCUGAAUGAGUAAUAUGGAUAUUAUUACUCCAAUUUUUCAGAUGAAAUUAAUACUCAGAGAGAUUGAAUAAGCUGCUCACUUUCUCAAAGCUAGUUGCUGUAAGAGUUAGGAUAAAUGACCUAUUUCUUUUCUUUUAUUUUUUUUUUAUCCUAUGUACAGUCAUUCCUAAUCAAUAACAUACUUCUAACUCCACUGUGCCCUAAGGGCUUCUCUAAAGCAUGUAGCAUGAUACUGAGCACACAGUAGGCCUUCAACAGUUGCCACUAUUGAUGUCACUCGUCAGUGGUGUGUUAUUAGUUUAUUACUGCCUUAUGAUAAACUUCUCCAUUGGCUUGCAGGUACAGAGAGCAACUCUGCUGCUGCUCCUCCAGAGUGCGGCAUCAUCUUCCUGCUCUUCCUUCCAUUUGCUCGAUUGGCUCCUACUCCUCUCCCACUGAAGAAACUGUAGCUUUCCCCAGGGCUUAGGCCCAAGCCCUGCUGAACCUCUAUCUCUGUGUGUUUGUCUGCAUGUCUGCAAUUACUUCAACUCAAACUGUACCCACCAACGACAAGACCCUUAGAAACUGCCAAAUCCUCAUUGCUGAGUGGUUUCCGUACUGCUACUGCUGCAGAAAAAGAAGAAAAAGUCACAUCCUUCUCACCAAAAACUAAAGGGGGAAACACAGAACCAGGGAAAUUCUGUAAGCAAUGGUGAACUGUUUAUUCAGGGCUCCAACUCUGCUCUUGCACCUGUGCCCUGCUGUGGCACAGUCUAUAGUUUUGAACUUUGUAUAGUACAAUGCUCAGCAAGAAGAAGAAGUUACCUUCUGGUCUGAGAGCCUCCUGACCAGUCUUGUCAGACUGAAAGAUAUUGGCUUUGCUCUAUCAAGGUGGCUUCUGUCCUGUGCUAAAUGACUUUAUAUUAUUGAUAUGUAAGCUUCUGAGAGACUUAUUUAGACUUCAGUAUCACUGGCCGUUAGAUGCCAGUGAUGUGUGGUGAAGUUGCUCAGGGUGUGAAGCCAGAGAAUUUAUGAGAAUCCAAGUGUUCAGACCUACUUCCCAACUCCAGCACCCAAGAAAUGGGCCUCUAAAGUAAAGAGCUUUGCAACUGUUGCUACUGCUGUAUCACAGUCCCAUACUGAGAGAGUCAAGCUUAUAGAUUUUGGACCUACUGUAUAGAAAUCUCAGAUCGUUUUGUGGCUCCAGAACUAUGUCUAGAGUGGUCUUAACCUUUCUGAGCCUCCUUCCAGACAAGUAAAUUGGGAUAAGGUUACCUGCCUCAUGGUGUUGUUAUAAAGUCAAAAUGAGAUAAAGUAUAUGAAUUGCUUAUAGUGAGUGUUAAGAAAUGGUGCCCAUUAUUAUUGAAACAAGAGGACCUCUGAAAGAAUGCAAAGUCAAUGCCUACUGGCUCUUUUGGUCAGUUGGCUGAGAAGAGCAUGUGAGGUCAUAAAGCCAAAGUCCAAAGGGAGCUGAAUUCUCCCUGCCUGCAAGAGAGGUCAAGAAUGUGGUGUAGUUGGUUAAGUUGUGAAGGUUCCACAUGAUUAUACAGAACUUGCAGGCCUUCGUCAAUUUUCCCAUAAUGAUUAAGUCUUUCAAAAUAAAAAAGAUCUUACGCAUAUACUUCAUACAGCAAAAGAGACUGGGAAAUUGGGGGAAGGUGUCAAUAAUAGCCAAUGACUACAUAUUUCAGAUACUGUGUUAAGUCCUUUACUUGUGUUUCCUCAUCUAAUUCCUUGUCUUCCAUGGCAGAUCUAAGCAUUCCCUCCUUCCAGGCGCCUGGGUCUUCCUGGCACUAUGAAUUGAAUAAAUUAUUACUCCUAUCUUAGAAACAAAAGGAAAUGAUGGAUCAGCAAGGCUAAGUAAUUUGCCCAAAGUUACACAGCAAGUUGGUGGUACUGAAACCAACAUUGUAUGGUUCUGGCAUCUUUCCUUCAUAUCUGGGAAAGGGAAGGCCAGGGAGCCUGUUUUUCCUGAAGAAAGAAGACAGGACCAUCACACUGAGGAAGCCAAGAAAAGCAGUGCAGGAAAAGCCGGGCAAGUGCAGUGUUCCAAGAGAUGUAACCAGAGAAAAAUCUGUGAAGUUUCCUCACAGGGACUUUCUCUGGGUGGAUUCUAGAUUCUGGGAAGCCUUGGGCUUCCCAAGAAGUUUUUGGCAGCACCUGGUCCAGUCAAACUACAUACUCAAUACCCAGAAGAGAGAGAGGAGAAAAUCAAGAACGGACAGUUUGUUGCCUGGUGGCCUGGGAAGGUCCCCAUAUUGAAAAAAUUCAAAGUAGACUAAACAGUGCAAAGACUUUUCUUUUUCAUGUCAACAUUGCAGAGGUUAGCCAGAAAUUAAAGCAGAGGAGGUUAGGAAGAGACAGGAAGUAGAGAGAGGAAGGAAGUGCUUUUCUCCCCACCACCGUCUUCUCUCUAGAAACAUGUUUGAAUAAAUUGGAGACAUUCUCCAGUCAUUGCUGCCCAAUGGAGCUUUCCAGUGACAAAAGGCUCAGGUGUGGGCUGGUUACACAAAGGAUCUGAAAUAAUGCUCAAGGGCCCUGUGCUUGCUGGUCCUACCUUCUUGGAGUCCUGAAGACUGAAGUGAGGCACAGGAAGAAUUGGAAAAGAUGCAUUUACCUUCAACAGACAGGAUCCCGUAAUAAGAUUUCUGAAAUGAGAGAGAGAGAAACAGAGAAGCCAGACUUUCCACUAGGUACCUCAGAAACAAGAGGAACACAGCAAAAAAUAAGGAUGGACUCUGAUAUUCAGUGUCCAGUGAUGGCCUCUUCAGUGAGGAUUAGCGGCCCCCUCGGCCGGGUGGUGGCUCACACCUGUAAUCCUAGCACUUGAGGAGGCUAAGGAGUUCGAGACCAGUCUGGGCAACACAGUGAGAUCUUGUCACUAUUUUUAAAAAAAAAAAGAAGAAAGAAAGAAAGAAAAAAGGAUUAACAGCCCACUUAACUCAUGUACUAUUUGAUACAUUAUUUUCCAAUAUUGUCAGAUACUGGGAGCUUGUUCUCAUCUCUACUAAUCUUUAUCUCUUCAAAGCCCUACCAAUCAAUUCCUUUAAUACCUAGCUCAGAGGUGACAUUCCUGGUGAAUCCUGCCCUGCAUACUUAAUUAAUCCUCCAUUUGAGCUCUAGGUGCCUUUUAAUAGCCAAACUUUCUUAUAUGUCAUGUAAAGUUAUUCUUAAAUUAUUGAGCCAAUAAAUUUAAAUUUACUUAGAAAACACAACUUUGACAAAAAGAGAAAAAUGAGUCAGCUGUAAUGCUACUACCCAGAGAUAAACAGUUACUGUGGCCAUGUAUAUUUUCUCAGACUUUCUGGUGUCAACUAAAGAAAAAAAAAAUCAAGCUUGUAAAGAAUUAAAGGUAGUUGUAUUUAGAAGUCUUACUGAGGACUAUAGACUGAGGCCUAGAGCCUGAGAACAGUCCUUCAAAGAGGUUCUGUCAGACUGCUCUGAAAUAGUGUUUUAGCUCAGUUUAUAUAUGGGUUUUGGAGGUUUAGUACGUGUAAAAUCACAUCAAACGUGUGCAGAAGUUACAUUAAAGGAGAAUCACACCGAAGUUUGGGUGUAAGAGUACAGCUGGUUACAGAUUACAGAGGCGUCAUCACUAACCCCAUCAGAUGUUACCUUACGUGUAAGAAAAGGCAGGGAAUAGGGUCAUUUAUCUUUUAAGGAACUUAGUGACUCAGGCAAGAGACACUGUGGGGCCAUGUGCUCUAUCUUGCUUUGCCUUCAAAGCAUCUUUCUGGAGAGCUGCACGUCGUCAGAGUUAAACUUUGUGAAAUUAUGCUGGCAAGCAGAAAUGAACAGACAUGCCUCCUUACAUUUGCUAUGUUGUCUCACACUGGUUUUCUUUUUCUUACUGUUUCAUCAAGCAACUUUUCUUCCAUUUAGCAAAAUAUCAUAAGCAUCUUUUGUGUGUAUCUGUAUCUAUUUCUAUCUGUAUCAGUAUUUCUGAUACUUAGUAGUCCACAGCAUUUUUAAUAGCAUCAUUAUAGUACAUAUCAUAUUUUACUAUAGUUAAUCUUAAGUGGCUAGCAUCUACAUAGUGCUUACAAUGUACUGGGUCAUUCUCAGUACUUACAUGCAUCGAUCCAUUUAAUCUUUGUAAUCCCAGGUGGUUGGUCUAAUUACUACUAUCAUUCAAAUUUCACAGAUAAAGGAAUCUGAGGCAUAAAGGGCUUAAGUAAUUUUCCCAUGAUCAUACAGCUAGAGACUUUAGAGCUGUAAGAGCUAGAAUUUGUCCAGCUAGGCUGACUCCAGACUUUUAACUACUAUGCAAUACAACCUUAACAGUCUUUAACUGAACACCUAAUAAUUGGCAGUUUCUUCAAAUAUCUUAUCCUUUAACUCUGCAAGUUGCAAAGAGCAUGAGAAUUUUGUGUGGAAGCCACAUUUGCCUAAUCCUCAACCCCACCCACCACUACCACCACCGUGCUGUCCUUGCUAAUUAGCCAAGUAUCUGUCUUUCCUCUCCUUUGCUUACUCCCCAGAUCAUCAACUCCUUGAAGUCAGGUAAUGUGCAGCUUUCUUCAUUUUUAUAACUCCAGCACCUGGCAUAGUUCCUGGACUACAGUUACCAUGUAAUAAAUGUUGGAAGAAUAAAGGUCGGAAGGGGUUUGGUUUGACUGAUAAAAAGCAAGAAAAAUAUUUUUCAUGAAAAUAUCAGAUACCAAAUUCUAUUUAACACUGGUUUAAAUAGAAUUUGCAGACAUGAUCUGGAAUUUUCUUUGUGGACUUUGCUCUGUGACACAAAACAAAACAAAAAGCUUAAGUGCAACUUUGGAAAUCUCUAAACUUCUUCUGAGGUCUGUGGCCAGGGGAACCAACGUAAGCCAGUUAUGCUGUGGAUUGCUGCGGUUCUCUAAAAGGAGGUGUGAGUUUGGGCUAAUUCUCACCAACUUCCUACGCUUGGGACCUUUGUUCUUCUCUACUUUCUACCCCACUGUGGCAUGCUCUUUUUUGUAGGAGCUCAUUUUAUCUCAAUAUUCUUUUUCAAAACUUCCUUUUGUCUGGUGGUUGAUAUUAUAGCAACUGGCAAAUCACAUCUGUUUUUUCACAGCAAGUCUGGUGCUCUGCAAGUCACUUUGGACGACUUUUUUUUGAGACAGAGUUUCAUUCUUGUUACCCAGGCUGGAGUGGUACGAUCUCAGCUCACUGCGACCUCUGUCUCCCGGGUUCAAGCGAUUCUCCUGCCUCAGCCUCCCGAGUAGCUGG